rnacentral:rRNA from 1 species
CUACGGGUUGCACCAGUAGGGAAUUUUCGGCAAUGGACGGAAGUCUGACCGAGCAACGCCGCGUGAAUGAAGAAGUAUUUCGGUAUGUAAAAUUCUUUUAUUAGGGACGAAAAAACAAAUUGACGGUACCUAAUGAAUAAGCCCCGGCUAACUACGUGCCAGCAGCCGCGGUAAUACGUAGGGGGCAAGCGUUAUCCGGAAUUAUUGGGCGUAAAGGGUGCGUAGGCGGCUGAUUAAGUCCAUGGUAAAAAUGCAAGGCUUAACCUUGUAGGGCCAUGGAUACUGGUCAGCUAGAGUAUGGUAGAGGUAAGUGGAAUUCCAUGUGUAGCGGUAAAAUGCGUAAAUAUAUGGAGGAACACCAGUGGCGAAGGCGGCUUACUGGACCAAGACUGACGUUGAGGCACGAAAGCGUGGGGAGCAAACAGGAUUAGAUACCCCUGUAGUC